rnacentral:lncRNA from 1 species
CCAGAUUCCUGGCUCCUCUGCUCUCUUCCGGUGGUGAUGGCCUAGCCUGCUCAAGGGCAAAGCAGACAUCUAGCCUUUGGUGCCGCCGGCUGGGCAACGUUGAAACCCAUACUCUUGGAUGCAAUGUGACCAGCCACCUCCGCAUGUGAGCAGCCUCUGCUGCGCAUUCCCACGGCCACGACCUGAGCUGCAGCUCCACACCUCCCUCAUCAUCAUGGACUGAAGAGCUCUGAAACCAUGACCGAAAUAAAUGUCCCCCACCUUG